rfam:Rhizobiales bacterium TMED29 20513, whole genome shotgun sequence.
GGAGAUUGGCGGCAGACGCAUCCCUCGCCAACCGGGUCAGGUCCGGAAGGAAGCAGCCCUAACGAGUUCGGUGCGGGUUGCCUGUCCAGUCUCCCAC